UACGUAGGGGGCAAGCGUUGUCCGGAUUUAUUGGGCGUAAAGAGCGUGUAGGCGGCCAGAUAGGUCAGCUGUGAAAACUCGAGGCUCAACCUCGAGAUGUCGGCUGAAACCAUCUGGCUAGAGUCCGGAAGAGGAGAAUGGAAUUCCCGGUGUAGCGGUGAAAUGCGCAGAUAUCGGGAAGAACACCAGUGGCGAAGGCGGCCAUCUGGAUCAACACUGACUCUGAGGCACGAAAUCGUGGGGAGCAAACAGG
rnacentral:rRNA from 1 species